CCUACGGGAGGCAGCAGUGGGGAAUAUUGGGCAAUGGGCGCAAGCCUGACCCAGCAACGCCGCGUGAAGGAAGAAGGCUUUCGGGUUGUAAACUUCUUUUGUCAGGGAAGAGUAGAAGACGGUACCUGGCGAAUAAGCCACGGCCAACUACGUGCCAGCAGCCGCGGUUAUACGUAGGUGGCAAGCGUUGUCCGGAUUUACUGGGUGUAAAGGGCGUGUAGCCGGGUUGACAAGGCAGAUGUGAAAUCCUGGGGCUUAACCUGAGGACUGCAUUUGAAACUGUUGAUCUUGAGUACUGGAGAGGCAGACGGAAUUCCUAGUGUAGCGGUGAAAUGCGUAGAUAUUAGGAGGAACACCAGUGGCGAAGGCGGUCUGCUGGACAGCAACUGACGCUGAGGCGCGAAAGCGUGGGGAGCAAACAGGAUUAGAUACCCUAGUAGUC
rnacentral:rRNA from 1 species